AUACGUAGGGGGCGAGCGUUGUCCGGAAUGAUUGGGCGUAAAGGGCGCGUAGGCGGCUUUGCAAGUCAGUAGUGGGAGUCCAUUUUUCAAGGAUGGAAGUGCUACAGAAACUGCGGAGCUUGAGUGCAGGAGAGGUUAUCGGAAUUCCCGGUGUAGCGGUGAAAUGCGUAGAGAUCGGGGGGAACACCAGUGGCGAAGGCGGGUAACUGGACUGCAACUGACGCUGAGGCGCGAAAGUGUGGGGAGCAAACAGGAUUAGAUACCCUGGUAGUCCACACUGUAAACGAUGAAUGCUAGGUGUAGGAGGUAUCGACCCCUUCUGUGCCGCAGUAAACACAGUAAGCAUUCCGCCUGGGGAGUACGGUCGCAAGAUUGAAACUCAAAGGAAUUGACGGGG
rnacentral:rRNA from 1 species